rnacentral:rRNA from 1 species
UGUAAGCACGGUAACGUGUUCAGCCUACUGGUACUAAUAAGCCGAGGGUUUGACUCAGU